CAUAGGAACGGGGGCGGCACGGAAUGGCGACGGAACGUAGGCUGCAACGCGUGCCGCCGCGGAACCGUUCCGCCGGAAUGGCAUAGGAACCGCAACGGCACAGCGUUGCGGGUGCCCUUAGGAAUUGGAGGAGUCCUUGCCUAAUGACUCAUCACCCACUCCUAGGCAUUUCUCUCGGGAAGGGGACUGCGUACACGCGGACGCCUACUCAGCAGCAACAUCAAUGGUGACUCAGCAUCCACGUAAGAACUUAGUCAGCAUCCACGUCGAUCGUGACUCAGCAUCCACGUCGAUCGUGACUCAGCAUCCACAUCAGCCUGACUCAUCCUCCACGUUGGACGUAACUCAGCAGCCACUUCAGCUCCACGUUGGACGUGACUCAGCAGCCACAUUGACGGAAUCAUCAUCCACAUAGGACGUGAUUCGGCCGCCACAUCAGCUUUUUCUCGGCCAUGUGCCGCGCUCAUCUCGCCGAGACACUGGCACCAGACAAGCUUCCACCCUCGGCUGACUCUCUUCGGUCAGGCUCGCAACGUCGGUGCACCGAGACCCGUCGACUUACACUUUGCCAUUUUGGAGGAGAUCAAGAGCAUUUUCGGCUUCCCGUUGGGUUCCCUGUCGGUGAAGUACUUGGGAGUGCCCCUCGCGUCGAGCAAGCUCAACAUCAUGCAUUACUCACCACUGAUCGAGACGAUCGCUUCCCUCACCAAAAAAUGAACAGAGGGCAUGGGGAGAACAGAUUGAGUCCUUUACUAAGGAGCCCAGGUCGAGGCUCCAGGUGCAGUACAACACCCGUAUAACCUCUUCAUACUCAUCUUAGUGGAAUGAGUUUGGACUCUCCCGGUGGGAAACUGGAGGAAGGGAAGAGUGAGUUUCAUAAACUGCCCCUUCCACCUGGCUCUCCAUCUAGCCCUUCUGCAUUACCAACUCCAAGAAGUCCUGGCACUACUGAAAGCUCAAGUAAUAAUGCUUCCAAAUGGAGAAAAGGAAAACUUUUAGGAAAUUAUGGGAAAUUAUGGAAUGAUUUUAAGGAAAGUAGCUUUUUAUUAAACACUGUUUUUCACUAGAAUCUACCGCAAUAUCAUCUAUUAUAACUUCAUUUUCAUGUAGAUUGAUACAUUACAUGCCUUUGGAAAGGGUAUUCAUCAGGACCCUUAACUCCAGCGGGUCGUCUGCUGCGUGUAUCUUUUUAUAUUAUAUGACUCCAUUUAGACUAUAGGGGCUGAACUUAGGACAAAAUUGGUUAUAUUCUCUUGUGCAGUCUACUUGGUUUAAUCUUCUACAGAUUCUUUACAUAAUAAGAGAAUCUAAUGUUUUUAUGGCAGUGAGAAUGGGCAAAUGUGUGCCAUAAAAGAAGUCAGACUUGUUUCAGAUGAUCAGUCAUCAAAAGAAAGUCUCAAGCAACUGAAUCAGGUCCUUCUGAGUACUUUCUGUCUUGAUAUACAUUAUCAACUACUCGAAGAAUAACAUUCUUCCUUAAUGCAUAUGGCUUUAUCUGUUCAUAUCCAUAUCUUCCUUGCACAUUUUUUAUAUAUUUUCAGGAAAUAACCUUGCUAAGUCAGCUUUCACAUCCAAAUAUUGUUCAAUACUAUGGAAGUGAUAUGAUACAAUUUAGUUCUGUUUAUUAUUGUAGUGCAUCUCUUUGAUCUAUUUGUUGAAAGCCCAGCUUGGACGAAUACAUUAUAAUAGCCAAGACGGGUACUCAGACAGUUGAUCAAAUUGGUAAUGCGGUACAUAUGAAAAAAAAUACCAAGAACUCCCCAUUAUCCAGAA